rnacentral:lncRNA from 1 species
CAAGAAGUUGCCCAUCUGUGAAUCCCAAAACUUUGCUGGGGCUGUACCCCUGCUCCUCUGGCUGCUUAAGACCAGGAACAAAGACUCCAAGGAGACUCUGGGCAAGUAUGGAGGGAAAUACGUUCCUCAUAGAAUGGCCUCCAGGAGCCCCUUCCUGUGUUGUUGGGAGUGUGGAGCCACUAUUGCCAGGACUGGCUACAUAAUUUGCAGCACCCAAUGCAAAAUGAAAAUGUG